UUAAUAGUGGUUCAGUGGUAGAAUUUUCACCUUCCAUGUGGAUGAUCCAGGUUCUGUUCUUGGCCAAUGUA
rnacentral:tRNA from 1 species